UACGGAGGGUGCUAGCGUUGUUCGGAAUUACUGGGCGUAAAGCGCGUGUAGGCGGCCCGCUAAGUCUGAUGUGAAAGCCCGGGGCUCACCCCCGGAAGUGCAUUGGAGACUGGCGGCUCGAGUCCCGGAGAGGAGGGUGGAAUUCCUGGUGUAGCGGUGAAAUGCGUAGAUAUCAGGAGGAACACCGGUGGCGAAGGCGGCCCUCUGGACGGUGACUGACGCUGAGACGCGAAAGCGUGGGGAGCAAACAGG
rnacentral:rRNA from 1 species